CUUGUCUUCCAAAUAAAGACCAGUAUGAACGGCGCCACGAGAACUAAGCUGUCUCCCCCCUCUAAUCAGUGAAACUGAUCUCCCCGUGCAGAAGCGGGGAUAAAACCAUAAGACGAGAAGACCCUGUGGAACUUUAAAUUCACAUCAUCUGCUUACACACUUUCUACUCAAUAAUUCAGACUUGAUUUGCAUUUUCAGCUGGGGCAUCUAUGGAGAAAAAACUACCCUCCAUGAAGAAUUUAACCCAAGAGCUACCCCUCUAAGUAUUAAUACCCUUAACCUCACUUGACCCAAUUAUAUUGAUCAACGGACCAAGUUACCCCAGGGAUAACAGCGCAAUCUACUUCUAGAGUUCCUAUCGACAAGUGGGCUUACGACCUCGAUGUUGGAUCAGGGCAUCCUAGUGGUGCAGCCACUACUAAAGGUUCGUUUGUUCAACGAUUAAAGCCCU
rnacentral:rRNA from 1 species